rnacentral:rRNA from 1 species
CCUACGGGCGGCAGCAGUGAGGAAUAUUGGUCAAUGGCCGUAAGGCUGAACCAGCCAAGUCGCGUGAAGGAAGAAGGACCUAUGGUUUGUAAACUUCUUUUAUAGGGGAAUAAAGGUAUCCAAGUGUGGAUAUUUGCAUGUACCCUAUGAAUAAGCACCGGCUAACUCCGUGCCAGCAGCCGCGGUAAUACGGAGGAUGCGAGCGUUAUCCGGAUUUAUUGGGUUUAAAGGGGGCGUAGGUUGUUUUUUGAGUCAGCGGUGAAAGUUUGUGGCUCAACCAUAAAAUUGCCGUUGAAACUGGAUGACUUGAGUGUGUUUGAGGUAGGCGGAAUGCGUGGUGUAGCGGUGAAAUGCAUAGAUAUCACGCAGAACUCCGAUUGCGAAGGCAGCUUACUGAGCCAUAACUGACACUGAGGCACGAAAGCGUGGGGAUCGAACAGGAUUAGAUACCCGAGUAGUC